UGAUGAAAGUAGUGACUAACUGUAUCUCACAGCACAAGGAGAGCAUCUCUACAGAAACAUUUCCAUGACAAGAGUGACUGUUUGAGAAGAAAGAUGUUCUCUGUCUUAAAGAGACCAACACUGACCCGGGCAGGGCUGAUGGAAGCCGUUCAACAAGGUCAAAGAUCAACCAUCUACAGCAAGCCAGCAAAGGAAAAGAUCGGUCCUGUGCAGUCUCUCUUUACCUUGUGUGUGUUUGCUGUGACCCUCUUGGCCCCCGCUGGAUGGAUCAUGCAUCACAUCCCACAAUACCGGCGGAGUUUACCUCCACAACCCUGACCCCUGACUUCUGCUAGGAAACCAUGCAGUGUAAUUGUGUUAAGAACCCCUUCAAUGUGUACAAUGUGUAAAAUUCCUUUAUAAAAGGAAUGAAAUCUUGAGGUAUAAAUUGUUGAUUAUAAAAUAAACUUUGAGAAGACA